rnacentral:rRNA from 1 species
UGGGGGAUAUUGCACAAUGGGCGAAAGCCUGAUGCAGCGACGCCGCGUGGGGGAUGAAGGCUUUCGGGUUGUAAACCUCUUUCGCUAUCGAACAAGGCCCGCUUAGGGUGGGUUGAGGGUAGGUGGAGAAGAAGCACCGGCUAACUCCGUGCCAGCAGCCGCGGUAAUACGGAGGGUGCAAGCGUUAAUCGGAAUUACUGGGCGUAAAGCGCACGCAGGCGGUUGAUUGAGUCAGAUGUGAAAUCCCCGGGCUUAACCCGGGAAUUGCAUCUGAUACUGGUCAGCUAGAGUCUUGUAGAGGGGGGUAGAAUUCCAGGUGUAGCGGUGAAAUGCGUAGAGAUCUGGAGGAAUACCGGUGGCGAAGGCGGCCCCCUGGACGAAGACUGACGCUCAGGUGCGAAAGCGUGGGGAGCAAACAGG